UAAGUACAAAUAUAAUCAUAAAAGAAGUCAAGGCUUAUUUGCUAAUCAUCAGUAUCCAAAAGAAAACAAGGGGAGAUAAUAAGACCGAAAGAAAACAAGAGGAGAUAAUAAGACAAAGAAAAACAAGAGGAAAUAUAAGAUCAAAAAGAAAACAAGAGUAAGAAAUAAGACCAAAAGAAAACAAGAGGAGAUAAUAAGUCCAAAAGAACAAGAGGAGAUAAUAAGAAAAAAAGAAAACAAGAGGAGAUAAUAAAUCCAAAGAAAACAAGAGGAGAUAAUAAGACCGGAAAGAAAACAAGAGGAGAUAAUAAGACCAAAGAAAAAAAGAGGAGAUAAUAAGACCAAAAGAAAACAAGAGGAGAUAAAAAGACCAAAAGAAACAGAGGAAGUAAUAAGACAAAAGAAAACAAGAGAAUAAUAAGAUCAAAAGAAACAAGAGU
rnacentral:lncRNA from 1 species